CUAGCAGUAUCAGAGUUUGAUCCUGGCUCAGAGCGAACGCUGGCGGCAGGCUUAACACAUGCAAGUCGAACGGGCACUUCGGUGCUAGUGGCAGACGGGUGAGUAACACGUGGGAACGUACCUUUCGGUUCGGAAUAAUUCAGGGAAACUUGGACUAAUACCGGAUACGCCCUUCGGGGGAAAGAUUUAUCGCCGAUAGAUCGGCCCGCGUCUGAUUAGCUAGUUGGUGAGGUAAUGGCUCACCAAGGCGACGAUCAGUAGCUGGUCUGAGAGGAUGAUCAGCCACAUUGGGACUGAGACACGGCCCAA
rnacentral:rRNA from 1 species